rnacentral:rRNA from 1 species
AUUGAACGCUGGCGGCAUGCCUUACACAUGCAAGUCGAACGGCAGCAUGAUCUCGCUUGCUAGAUUGAUGGCGAGUGGCGCACGGGUGAGUAAUACAUCGGAACGUGCCCUGUAGUGGGGGAUAACUAGUCGAAAGAUUAGCUAAUACCGCAUACGACCUGAGGGUGAAAGUGGGGGACCGCAAGGCCUCAUGCUAUAGGAGCGGCCGAUGUCUGAUUAGCCAGUUGGUGAGGUAAAGGCUCACCAAGGCGACGAUCAGUAGCUGGUCUGAGAGGACGAUCAGCCACACUGGGACUGAGACACGGCCCAGACUCCUACGGGAGGCAGCAGUGGGGAAUUUUGGACAAUGGGCGAAAGCCUGAUCCAGCAAUGCCGCGUGUGUGAAGAAGGCCUUCGGGUUGUAAAGCACUUUUGUCCGGAAAGAAAUGGCUCUGGUUAAUACCUGGGGUCGAUGACGGUACCGGAAGAAUAAGGACCGGCUAACUACGU